GAUUAGCUUGUUGGUGAGGUAACGGCUCACCAAGGCGACGAUCCCUAGCUGGUCUGAGAGGAUGACCAGCCACACUGGAACUGAGACACGGUCCAGACUCCUACGGGAGGCAGCAGUGGGGAAUAUUGCACAAUGGGCGCAAGCCUGAUGCAGCCAUGCCGCGUGUAUGAAGAAGGCCUUCGGGUUGUAAAGUACUUUCAGCGGGGAGGAAGGUGUUGUGGUUAAUAACCGCAGCAAUUGACGUUACCCGCAGAAGAAGCACCGGCUAACUCCGUGCCAGCAGCCGCGGUAAUACGGAGGGUGCAAGCGUUAAUCGGAAUUACUGGGCGUAAAGCGCACGCAGGCGGUCUGUCAAGUCGGAUGUGAAAUCCCCGGGCUCAACCUGGGAACUGCAUUCGAAACUGGCAGGCUUGAGUCUUGUAGAGGGGGGUAGAAUUCCAGGUGUAGCGGUGAAAUGCGUAGAGAUCUGGAGGAAUACCGGUGGCGAAGGCGGCCCCCUGGACAAAGACUGACGCUCAGGUGCGAAAGCGUGGGGAG
rnacentral:rRNA from 2 species